rnacentral:rRNA from 1 species
UACGAAGGGGGCUAGCGUUGCUCGGAAUCACUGGGCGUAAAGGGUGCGUAGGCGGGUCUUUAAGUCAGGGGUGAAAUCCUGGAGCUCAACUCCAGAACUGCCUUUGAUACUGAAGAUCUUGAGUUCGGGAGAGGUGAGUGGAACUGCGAGUGUAGAGGUGAAAUUCGUAGAUAUUCGCAAGAACACCAGUGGCGAAGGCGACUCACUGGCCCGAUACUGACGCUGAGGCACGAAA